AUUGAACGCUGGCGGCAGGCUUAACACAUGCAAGUCGAACGAGUGGCGGACGGGUGAGUAAUGCUUGGGAAUCUGGCUUAUGGAGGGGGAUCACGACGGGAAACUGUCGCUAAUACCGCGUACCAUAGGAUGAGCCCCAGUGGGAUUAGGUAGUUGGUGGGGUAAUGACCUACCAAGCCGACGAUCUCUAGCUUGUCUGAGAGGUUGACCGGCCACACCGGGACUGAGUAACGGCCCGGAUUCCUACGGGAGGGAGCAGUGGGGAAUAUUGCUCAAUGGGGGCAACCCUGACGCAGCCAUGCCGCGUGAGUGAAGAAGGCCUUCGGGUUGUAAAGCACUUUCAUCGGGGAGGCGUUACCCGCAGAAGAAGCACCGGCUAACUCCGUGCCAGCAGCCGCGGUAAUUC
rnacentral:rRNA from 1 species